rnacentral:tRNA from 1 species
GCCCCUAUGGCGUAGUGGUAGCGCGUGUCACUUGUACUAAUAAGGUUGCAAGAUAAUGACAAGGUCUCUCGUUCGAUCCGGGAUGGGGGCA